rnacentral:lncRNA from 1 species
AUUGUAUAUCAAGUGCUCAGAAGAGUGACAGGCGCAUAGCGAGUUCUGGGUAACUGUGGACCAUUAUUAUUAUUAGUAUUCUAAAGUUUCUCUGUCAAGAAAGAGUGUCACAAACAUUAAUGAUGGUUCCUACCUUGUACACUAUGAGCUGAUCCUAUGAAGUUUAUAGGACCACAGUUAUCUACUGCAAGGAUAAAACAGAAGCCAUUUUUCUAGAAUAUUUCAGAAAGUAAAAGAAGAUGACACAACCCCAACCAUUUCCUGCCAAAGCCCUACAUCUGUGGCUACGAACUUUGCGGAGCUGGUUUUUUAUUGUGAUGCUCAGUGAACCUCUCAGUUCUUACGUGUGGCUGCAAGCUUCUCUGCUAUCAUUUGGGCCUCUGUAAGGCUGCAGAGUGAGCCUUCUUCAUGGCCCCUCCUUUUGCAGGUGUUUAUAUCUGCUCUCCAGUAGAAAGCCCUUCUCCACACUUUGCCAUUAAGCAGUUUGCCAGAACAAUUUGAAGCAAAUAGGGAGGUUGUGGGAGAGUUCCCAAGUCACCCCUCAGAGAUGGACUGAGAUCAGAAACUUAGUAAUUCUAACCUUAUCAAUCAUCUUGGCUGUGAAGACCAUCUUCACUGGCCUGGAUCUUCCUUCCCCCAACCAAAACAAAAAACCAGUUAGCAGCCAGCACUUGCAUCACACACCUGCUAAGUGCGAGAAAUUCUGUGUUAGUUAUUUCUAUUUAAGCUACCUCAUUCUUAGUUCUCUAAACUAUGUGUGACAGCAGCUCAUUUAUUCUUCCUCAAAAUUCUGUAGUGCAGAUAAAGCUACUUCCUUAAUGGAUGAGGAUACUGAAUGAAAUUUGCCUGGGUAAAAUACUCAGGAAAAGACAGAUUUAGGAUUCCAAUGUUGGUCUUCUUGGCUUCGGGUUCUAGGCUAUUUCCAAAUCCCCUGAAGCUUCUCAGUUUGGGAAUGCCUGAGUCAGGGAGACCAUUUAGGCUGGAAAGGACACGGUUGAUGAAAUACACUGAGAAGGUUCCACAUAUGAGGUCUCUCCAGAGAUGUCUGGAAUUCCUCAGUCAGAAUCUCUGUUUUCGGCUAAGGUGCAUUUACAAAGGGGCAGCAGAGGCUCUCAGUACUGACCUGGGGGGCACACAGCCCCCUGUUCCAGUGGGUCUCUAGAUCAGAUGGCACCACCAGCCAACGGAGGGCACAGGUGAGUAUGGAUGUCAGGAGAGGAUGAAGAGGCUUCAAGAAGAGGCCGGAAGAGCUGGAAGAGUCAAUGCAACAGGUAUUGUGGGUGUUAUUGGGAGCCAGGCUCUGGGCUGAUUGCAGGCUGUGGGCUGGAGGGACGUGGUCUAUGAGGGAGGAAGGUGGAGCACGUCUACAGCAGUGUGUGGGUCACGAGUGUCAAUGGGAAAGAACAUAGAAGGCAAAUUCAAGCUAUGUUUCUAUGACCUUCGUGUCCCAUAUUGAAGGAACACAUGCUGAACUUUUGGAAGUUUUGUUCCUUUGAAGCAGGUGACCCAGGCAACCCUUCCCAAAGCAAAGAAGAGGUCAUUCUCAUAAUGCUGUGUACAUCUCAUCAUCCCGGCAUCCCUUUGCCCACAGAAGAACCCUACGAACUGUGAAGGGGAAGCAGGGUGUGUAAUAGAGAAAUAACACCCCAUUUCAAUUCUGUUCUUGGUGG